rnacentral:rRNA from 1 species
UACAGAGGUCUCAAGCGUUGUUCGGAUUCAUUGGGCGUAAAGGGCGCGUAGGCGGGCGAGCAAGUCGAAGGUGAAAUCCCACAGCUUAACUGUGGAAGUGCCCCCGAUACUGCUUGUCUGGAGGGAGAUAGGGGCGUGCGGAACUUCCGGUGGAGCGGUGAAAUGCGUAGAUAUCGGAAGGAACACCGGUGGCGAAAGCGGCACGCUGGAUCUCUACUGACGCUGAGGCGCGAAAGCCAGGGGAGCAAACGGG